rnacentral:snoRNA from 1 species
AACCUAUAGUGAUGACACCUUUUUAACAGAUCCUUGUAUCUCUCCCAUGCAUCGUAGAGUGUUUCUAAAUCUAUCUACAAAAAAGAGGAGAUAUCAUUACGUAAUUU